UACGUAGGGUGCGAGCGUUGUCCGGAAUUACUGGGCGUAAAGAGCUCGUAGGUGGUUUGUCGCGUUGUUCGUGAAAACUCACAGCUUAACUGUGGGCGUGCGGGCGAUACGGGCAGACUGGAGUACUGCAGGGGGAGACUGGAAUUCCUGGUGUAGCGGUGGAAUGCGCAGAUAUCAGGAGGAACACCGGUGGCGAAGGCGGGUCUCUGGAACGGUACUGACGCUGAGACGCGAAAGCGUGGGGAGCGAACAGG
rnacentral:rRNA from 1 species